rnacentral:lncRNA from 1 species
GGGUUUGAAAAUAGGGGCAAAUUGUGUUUGAAAAUAGGGGGCAAAUUGGGUUUGAAAAUGGGCAAUUUGGGUUUGAAAAUAGGGGGCAAAUAUCAGAGUAUGAAAAUGGGCAAACUGCGUCUGAAAAUAGGGGGCAAAAUAGGGGGCGAAUAUCAGAGUCUGAAAAUAGGGGGCAAAUUUUGUUUGAAAAUAGGGGGCAAAUUGUGUUUGAAAAUAGGGGGCAAAUAUCAGAGUCUGAAAAUAGGGGGCAAAUUGUGUUUGAAAAUGGGGGGCAAAUUGUGUUUGAAAAUAGGGGGCAAAUCCACGUCUGAAAAUGGGGGGCAGCGCUGUGACCCCCAAAUGAGCACAGAGCUUCAUUUCAAAAUGGGGGGCAGCUCUGCGUCUGAAAAUAGGGGGCAAAUCCACGUCUGAAAAUUGGGGGCAAAUCUGAUGCCCCCAGUUGGGGGCAGCGCAGUGUCUGAAAAUAGGGGGCAAAUAAAGGGGGGGGGGUAAAUCCGUGUCUGAAAAUG